UGGAGCAUGUGAACCUAACCACUAUGCCACUGGGCUGGCCCCUUUCUUAUUUUUAUUGUGUUUAUUCCUACGUAUUUGAUGUUUGAUGGAACAUCUAGAAGGACUCCUUUUUCAGAGUUCAUGUUUUCCAAUAUUGCAUCUGCCCUUUUAUGUCUAUUCUCUUUUUCUGAAAUUCCAAUUAGAUAUAUGUUGGAACUCAUUCCAUGCCUCUUAACCUCUCUUUCAUAUUUUCCAUCAUCUUUGCCUCUCUGGGUUAUAUUAUGGAUAAUUUCUUAUGAUCUAUCGUCCAGUCUGCUAGUUAUCUUUAGCUAUGUAAAAUUUUCUGUUUGCACCUGUUAUGAGUUUUUUUUUAGUUAUUUUAUUUUAUUACUAGAAGUUUUGUUUUUCAAUUCUGAUAGUCCUUAUACUUUAUCAUUCAAUAAAGAUAUCAUUAGGCUUAUCUUUUACUUUUUAAAACAUGCUAAACACGGUUGCUUCCUAAUUUGUGUUUCUACUGUGCAUUGUCUAUUGUUUCUCUCUUAUCAUGACUUCUUGUCUUUGUUUUGUUAUGUGGUUAAUUAUUUUUGACUAUGAACUUGUCAUUUUCCUUAGACUAUAUGUUUUUUUGUAGAAACUCUUUGAGGCCUGGAUGAAGGUGAGUUUCUCCAAAGAGGAUUUGCUUUUUUGGGAACCUAGGAAUAUUAGCAUCCCAAAACUUCUUCAAACUAAUUCACAGCUGAAGGUUUCUGGAUAACCUGAAUGAUAUGAAUUUGUGUUACAAAUUCAAAGGAGGACAUACUUAUGGUUAUCAUUUGUCAGGUGUGGAAGCUGCCCGGAAUCAAGUCAACUUUCCUUGCACUUCUCAGAAGUUGAAAGGAGGUUGAUAGACUUACUCUGUUUUGCCUUGACACUGAUGGCAUACAAAUUUGGGGUAUUUUAUCUUCCAGCAUUAUGAAUGAAUUAGUUAGAUUUUGCUAUGGUAACAAAUACCCCCCAAACCUUAUAGCUUAUAACAGUAAGCAUUUAUUUUUUGCUCAUGGAUCUGCAGGUCAGCUACAGCAGGGCUUGGCUGGACAUAAUCAAAGCAGAUCACUUGGCCAGGCCCCAAAUCAGUGGUGCAGAGUUGUUUGCCCCACUUCAUUUACUAGACGGGCUUCCAAAGUUACUUGGCAAAGGGUAUAGAUGUAUAAUCCUAUUACAAGGAGGAAGUUAAGAGUUGUGAAUAGCAAUCUAGUCUACCACAAUAUGACUGCCUGUUUGUGAGAUUCCUGGGCUUUGUUUUCAGUCUCCCGUGCCCCACAAAGCUAUGAAAACUGAAGAUCUGGUUUGUUAGGAUCAGCAGAUGUUCUCAGGCAAAAGCAGUCUCAAUGCUUUAGUUACCUCUUGAGUUUGUCUUGUUGCUUAGACCUACUGCUACCAACUCAUCCACCUCAAAAGAAAAAGUUGGGUUUCUUUCGCUGUUAAAAGUUCUAGCCAAAGUCCCAAAUUUGGCAUUGAUUGGCCUCAGACAGUUCCUAUGACCGUCUUUGAAUACUGUGGCCAGGAGUAAUAUGCUGAUCGGUUAGGUCUGGGUGACAGGUCCACUGCGGACUCAGGGGUAGGAUCGGUCCCAUGCAGGUGAUGUGACUGAGGGUAGGAAAAAUGUGGUUCCCAAAGGAAAAUUAGGAGGAAAUGGAUGCUGGGCAAGCAAAGAUAACAGAUGUCUACGUUCUGUGCUUAUUCCUAAAAUCAAGGAUUUCAACAUGUGGAGAAUGAAGAAGAGGACAUUCCGGAUGGCAUGACGGCAUGAAGCUGUACAAUGGUGGGAUUGUUUGGGGAAAUAGUGGUGUCUUUUGACAAAGUGCAGAGUAUGUGAUGGGCACUGGAGUAGAAUAAAAGCUGGUGUCUUUUGGCCAGACAGCUGGUGGCCACAUGCUCCCCUAAGACACAUGGAUCUUAUUUGGCAGCUAUUGGGUCCCUAAUUCAAAUAUUUCCUAUAAAUUUUUAUCCCUCCAGAAUUAUCAGGCAGAAGGGAAAGACAAAUGAUGAGGACAGGAAAUGCAAGGAAAGGAAACGAAGCAAAAAGCUGACUAAUGUGGGUCAGGAUAAAAAUAAUGUAACCAAAGGAGUGGACAACAAGCAGAAGCAGAAACGGGGGGCUGUCAGAGGGCAGAGGAGGAAAACACUCUGGUUCCAGAGGGUGAGGCCCAGGAGUGGAUGCCUGCUGGAUGCUUCUGACCCUCAUCGAAGGAGACAGUGCCUGCCAGAAGGCACCAGUAUGGAGACAGAGACUGUCAACCACAAAUCAGAAGGCUGAGCCCAUUAAUGGUUCCUCACCAGACCUUCUUUGGUCCACUCGCUGCCUUCACUCUUCGCUCAUCCUUGGAGGGUACCAGAGGCCAUAUUGGGUCUUACUUUUUGCGAUGCCCCAUAGGAGAAAGAAAACCAAGACCUAUGAAUCACAUCCAAAACUAAGUGAAAGAUUUGAACCAGUUAGGGAGUAUUGCUACUGCAAGCAUUUGCUGAAAGGACAGGGAAUCUGAAAACUCGAAAGCUCUGGGUGAAGAGUUGGACUGGAGCGAGGAGUGUGGUCGCCGGCACAAUGAAGUAUUUUGAGUUUGAUGUUUUCUGACCCGCUGAAGCUAAACUAUAGCCCAUUUCAUUUUCAAACAGCCUCCCGGGAGCCCUGGGAUGACCUCAGUCAGGAUGUUCUCAAACAUAAUCUAGCCUGCGCAGUAACCUGACAAGAAUUGGUUUAUUUAAGGAACGCGGUGGGUCCUUUAGCCUCUAAAGGAACCCAUAGGUCAUUUGUAAAGGAACCAGCAUGACCUGUUGGAACUUCUCUUGGCACUGAUGCUCAGCCGUUUCAGGUUAGAACUUUGUUGCUUUGAGCUGGAAGCUCCACUGAAACUUGUGUAAUGGAGACCACAUAAAAUGUAGUUUCCAUUAAGAUAUUAGGAUGAGCAGACAAGGACUUUAAAACAGCUCUAAUUAAUUCAAGAAAGUAGAGGGAAGUGUGGAGAAUUUCACCAGAGAACUGGGAUCUUUUAAAAAAUAGUCAAAUGGGGAUUCUAAAAAUGAAACAAAAAUGCAGUAUGAGAAAUUAAGAACUCAGUAGAUGGAUUUAACAGCAGAAUGGAUGCAGCAGAAGACAAGAUGAGUAAAUGCAACUAGGGGUCAAUUGAAAAUAUUCCUAGAGCAAAAUAAACAAACAGCCAAAUAUCACUUAAUGGAAUACCUUGCAGCAAGACCAAAAAUACAAACUACUGAUAUACGCAAUAAACGGAAUGACUCAAGAAGAAUUGCGUAAACAAAUGAAGCAAAACACACAAAAAAUGUAUACUCUGUGAUUCUAUUUCUAUGAAAUUCAAGAACAGGUAUAACUUAUCUAUGAGUGACAGACGUCAAAAUGGCGGCUACUUCUGAGGGGUGGUAUUGGACAGGUGUGAGGCAACAUUCUGGGGCGAUCGAAAUGUUCUGUAUCUUGGUCACCUGAUCUGCGUGGUGAUUACACUGGUGUUCCAUUUGUAAAAUUUCAUUGAGCUGUACACUUAAGGUUUGUGUACUUUACUGUGUAUAAGAAAUAGCUCAAUUUAAAAAAUACCAGAGAAGAUAUUUCUUCCCCAUGUGUUUCCUCUUGUUUACUCUUUCUCAUCUUUUCACGCUGGAAGGAAGGCCCCUUGGUGUCCUCAGCUAUUUUUACGGAUGCUGGAAAGUCUGUCAAGGAGGAAGGGGCCUGAAGGCCUUCAGGAAGCUGAAGACUGCAUACCAUGAGUCACUGCGCUUGGAGGUGAGGAAAGUCAAGUCUCCUUUGUUGAGUAUGGACCCUGGGGUCCGGAGGAAGCCAGUCGAGACCUUGGCUUCCUGGUGAGUAAACACAGCUUUUUAGAAAUACUAAAAUGGCAGAAGGCGGAGCUUCAGGGACCCUGGAAAACUUUGACAAAAAGCAGUCUAAACAUUCUUAAGUCAUUAAAAAAAAUAUAGAGAAUGCAUACAAUGUCAGCGUCUUUUGGGUCCUGCUAUAUACAGUGGAGGAGUUGGAAAGGAAUAAUUGUGGCCUAAGUGGAAAAUAACUCUGAUAUUCUCAGGAAAGGAGUCAGGAAGGGUUUAGCACUUAACCGAAGAGCAGCGGUAUGAAUUUAGGCUGAGAAGGAGGAGACCCCGGGGACUUCAGCACAGGCCACCUCUGCUCACUCCGUCCAGCCAAGUUCGGCUGUCCAGUCCUCUGAGGCUUCGUCUGCCCCUUCAGCGUUUUCCUCCAAGGACAGAUCAAACCACCGGAACAGUCCAUGCACAGUUGGGACGAGCCACAUGGUUUUGCCUUAUUGGCUCUCAGUUUGGACUUCUGGGAACACGUCGAGUCUCUGAGUGGGGAGUCCAGUGAGGAGGCAUGUGGAACAGAAGAUAAAAAAAAAAGAGGUUCUAGGGACAGCUCAUGUCAGGAGGGUGAGUGAGAUGGCUUUGAGCCCUUUAAAGCCAGUUCUACUGACCUUCAGAUGGGGGAUGGUGCUACUGGCAUCGAGCGAGUAGAGGCCAAGGAUGCUGCUGAUCAUCCUACGAUGCAUGGGGACAGCCCCCACAGCAAAGAAUGAUCCGAUCCCAACUGCCAAUAGUGUCAAGACUGAGAAGCCCUGGUGUAUACUCUUCUUAAGACAGGCCAAAAGAAGAGAGGAAACAGAGCUCCUGUUCUGACCCACAGCCUGGCCAGAUCCGGCUUGAGGACCCUUGAGGGAGCCAAGAGGGCAGCAGAUAUUUCUGACCAGGAGGAGGCAGCUGGAGUUAGAGACCAGAAAAGGGGGGGACGUCUCCACAGCAUGGCUUGACAAGUGGUGUGUACGUGGGUCCCCACCCAGGAUCCGAACCAGCGAACCCCGGGCUGCCAAAGCAGAGCACGCAAACUUAACUGCUACACCACCAGACCAGCCUGCAGCCACCAUGUUUUUCUCAGACCAAACAUCACCAGUUUCCUCCACGUUUUCUUUGUGGAUAGAUACUCCAGCCAGGGUUCUUUUCAUUACAAAAGUAAACCUGCCUUCUGUGUAGUUCAGUUCAUGCUGGACUAAUUCCUGACGCCCCCAGUACAGAUCUUUCUCAGCUGGGAGAUGGCUGGUAGACACACAGCAUUCUUGUUUCGCAAUAAUACUGACACUUAAGAACUAUAAAAGCUAGCGUGUCUUGAGAGUUUACUUGUUCUGGAGACUACGAGAGAUUGACCUAUAUUAGCUUAUUUAAUUCUCACAAUAACCCAGUGAAGUGGCAUCUUAGGUUGGGUUCCUUAGAGGCAGAAUCAGAGACAGGGACUCAGGUGGCCAGGAUUUACUGAGGGACUAAUGCCCUUCAGAGAGAGUCUAUCAGGGAGCAAGGGCAUGAGGUGGUGCGGGCAAGGAUGUGGUCUCAGGUAAAGUCUAGCCUUGGCUGGAUCCAAGGAAGGUUUUGGAUGACCCUGAAGGAAGAAACCAUAACAGAAAUGAUUUAUAGAUUUUUAUCCUUAAGAAAACCUUCUUUACAACAGAAAACAUAAAGAAAAAUUAAGAGCAAGAUAAUUGAGGAAACCUAUUCAUAAUAUAUAUGUCAGAAAAGGGUUAAUUUAAUGGAUCUACAAAUCAAUAAGAAAAAAGAUAAAGACUCUAAUAAAGAAAUCGGCUAAUGAGAUGAGUAAGUGAUUCAUAAGAGAAAUACAUAGAGCUAAUAUACAGCAGAUAAAAUUUCAAUGCCAAUAAUAAAGGAAUGCAAAUUAAAAUUUGACACUAAGUUUAACCUGUUAGAUAAUUAAAAAUGAAAGUGGUAAUAGUCACACAUUCACUGAUGGUGGUAGUGUAAAUUGCCAGUCUUUUGGAAGAAAAAUUUGACGGUAUCCUUAAAAGUAAGUGUGGACUUUCAUCUAGUAAUUUCCUUAAUGGACAUUUAUUCUAAGGAAAUAAUUAAGAAUGGCUGCAUAGACAUAAUUAUAAUAUUGUUAUCUUGGUAUCGUUAUAAUAGUAAAGAGUCAAAGUUGAUUGUAAAUGUCCAAGAUUGUAGGAAGUUGGUUAAGUAAAUGAUGGUGCAUCUAUAUAUCAAAUUUUUUGGUUUGUUUUUGUUUUUUUGGUGAGGAAGAUUGGCCCUGAGCUAACACCUGUUGCCAAUCUUCCUCUUUUUGCUUGAGGAAGAGUGGCCCUGAGCUAACAUCUGUGCCCAUCUUUCUCUAUUUUGUAUGUGGGACGCCACCACAGCAUGAUUAAUGUACGUUUGAGCAGUGUAUGUUUGAGCCUAGGAUUGGAACCCGUGAACUCAGGCCACCAAAGCAGAUCUCGCUGAACUUCCACUAUGUAACCAGGCCAGCACCUAUAUCAAAUAUUUUGAAGGCUUUAAAUGGGUCUGCUGAUAUGGAAAGAAGUUCACAAUAUAGUAAAGUUUAAAAAAAAGACUCAAAACAGUGUGUCUAAUAGAAUGCCAUAACACUUGACUCUCUCUGUGUGUGUGAUUGGAUAUUAAAUUGUACAUAUGUAUAUGUAACAGGAUUUUAAAUCGGAAGUUUGACUGAGGCACGAAGAUCAAAUAGACGUAAAAUUCCAAAGUCAGGUGCCCAUCCAAGAUGCAGAUUUUCAAAGGAAAUAACUAAAACGCUGUUUUCUGAAGCUCAAUACCUUUUACCCAAAGAUAGGACACAACGGAUCAAGGACGAGAUGAGAGGGGGGACUUUGAAGGAGGAUUUUUUUGGAGAAACCUGUAAUGUGACUCUUUGCCCAUUAUCUCCAUCCUUGAGGGAAGGUAGCCGGUGGGACCGUUUGAACAGCGUGCCAGGAGUUCCCGGCAGCUGGGCGUCCGGACUGAUGAGUCGCAGCUGAGAAAGCUAAUGGGCAAGGGCCUGGGGCCCCAUGGCCCUCCCAGAGCAGAGGAGACGACAGAAGAGGCCUGGGCUGCCCGUGGGGUGGCUCUGUGCCACCCAAGAGCCCACCGCACAGCCACAGCGGACCAGAGGUAGGUCACGAGUUAUGGUUGGGCCCAAGAGGGCCUCCUGGAAGGGCAGUGGGAGUCCAGAAGAGAGGGCCUGGGUGGAGUAGAUACCCGAAGAGCAAGGGCGUGUGGGGACUGAGCAGGAGUGCACCCACUUCACAGAAAGUGCGGGCGAGUGUUCCCAGGGAGGCCCUCGGAAGGAUGCACAAAAGGGCUGCAAUAGGAAGAAUCAGACUCGGUUUUCAACACGUGCCAGACCAUGGGGCUCGAAGCCAUCUUCUAACAGUGUCCAGCAGGCAGGAUUUUUCCUCCCCUCUCUCUCCCUUCCUUCCUGCCCUCCACCCCCAGAGGGUCAGAAAGAGCCGCAAGCUGGCCGGCACCUGCGCUAGGUGGGGAGCGGAGCGGAGAGGGAGGACUUUCACCUUCAAUGGAAAUUGUCACGUUCAUUCAUGGAUUCGACUGGGCAUCUCGAUUUCUGAGUCAAUGCUGUGUCUGGGGAUGUACCAUGACCAAAGGAUUUUGUAUAAUCUAAUGGUAAUCAAAAAGUCAUGAGACUACCUGAUUUUUUUUUUAAAAAGUCAAGACACAGAGGCGGGACUUUCCCCUUUGCAUGAUUUUGAGAGAGCGAGCAGUCUCCCUUCACCCCUGCUUCGGGCUCACUCGCUGCUGGUUACACGCGCAGAAGCAUCGUAAAGGGGCUGAAAGGAAACAGAACGAUGUGUUCCUGAGGGGAUGGGGUUCUGCAUGUGUUUUAUGUUCUUUUUACUUGAAAAAUCCUUUUUAAUGUAUUUGGCUUUUCUGAUAGCAGAAUUCACUAAAAGACACUUGAUUUGGAAGGAGAAAGCCUGGCCUCCGCCUUUGGGCUGUCAUACUGACGGGCGACAGCAGCCGUGCUUGGCAUGUUUUACAAACCGAGAGAUGACGUGGUUUACCCACAGCCCCAUAGCUGGUCAGUGGUGAAGCCGGGAUGUGAGCCCAAGCAGCGACGUUCCUGUCAGGGGGCCUUGCUCCACGCUAGGUGGCCUCUUGGCCCCGCUGCUGAGAGAGGAGCUGGCCCUCCCUUGCAUGACGAUGGGCACACUUACAAGCCGGGCAGGGGGGCAGGUAAGGGGCCUGUGGCCAGGAGCCAGACCACACCUCUGGCCCUGACCUCCCUCAGAGAGGUAGCCGGCCGGGAGCCUUCUUUACCAUCCCCGUUUCCCCUCUCCCAGCUUGCCUCUCCCAGGUGGGCCCGUGAAGCAGGAGCCCGGGGUGCGGUCACUGCUUCGGUACACAAGCCCCAAGGUGCCCUCCUGAAAAAGUCGUUUCUGCUAACGCUAGGCUUUAGGCAUAUCCAGGAGUUCUCACUUUCGUUCUUCAUCAGCUCAGUCAGCAUUUAUCACGUGUCAAGCAUGUGGACAUCGGGCUUUUUCUUUUUCACGCAGCAGAUGUAAAUUGAGCCCUGACUUCCGUAUUUCCUCAAAUCGAAGAUGCCAUCAACUGUAAGAUGCUUCCUGAUUUCAGAGAUAUUAAAAUGCAAAAGGUGGGCUUGUGACUAUUUUAAGGUACCAUUGAUGGAAAGACAAUCAGCUCGAUUUCAGACAAAUUCAGAAAAAGGUGAAAAACUGUGCAUCUCAGAGGUGAAGAAAAGCAGGCAGGGCUGUGCUCCCUGAAGCAGUUUGAGUACAGGGGUUCAGUAUUUUGAGAGCCGCUCUUGCUGCAGACACAGUGAGUACCAGGUGACUGGAUUGCCGCCUUGGCUCAAUCAGUGUCCUGCCCUGUCUGAUUUCCCGAGUGAACAGCUUGGCCCUGAGCUCCUUGCUGCUAUCCAGUACCACCCGCCAGGCUCGGCUGGCUCCCAGGGGACCGGGGGUGUGCAUCAGUCACUCAGUGCCCCUCACCUUUUUCUUGCCUCAGAUCUGAGAAAUGGAGCAGUUGGAACCUGGAGUCGCUGUGGUCAGCAGCAUGUCCUGGCUAGGCGUUUAUUUAAGGUCACGCACGCCCCACUUCUCAAGUUACUUCUACAUGCUUGGACCUUAUUUUUUUUCUGCUUUGCAUUUCUUUGCAGGGUGGGUCCAUGAGAGACAGGAGAAAAGAGCACUGACGGUAGUCGUGACAGAGACCAGACCAUAGUCCUCUGAAAAUGCCAUUUUGCUCCUGAGAUGUAUUUCCUGGGUAUCUGAUUUGUACAAUGUGCGACUAUAACCAAAUGAGGCUGAAAAAAAAAGACUUCUAAACCAAAUAUACAUCUCUUGGCAACAGUGAUUCUGUGUAGUAAGACAGAAAAUCAGGGAGGGCAGAGAAGAAAGGAGCAGCCUCCUCAACCAAUAGGAUCUAAUCCACAUUCGUAGGCCGCUCCACCCACCAGCAGAAUGCACCCUCUUCUCAAGCACCCACGGAUCAUUCACCAAGACAGUCCAUCUCCUGGGCUGUGAAACAGACUCGACAAAUUGAAGAGAACUGAAACCGUACAGAUAUGUUCUCUGAACACACUGGAAUCUCGUUAGAAAUCAAUAAAACAAAUAUCCAAUGACAUACUUAUCCAAAUGAGUGCCUUCCCUCAUCAGAUGGUCACUUUUAGAGGUUAUUUAUUAAAUAAACACUUUAUUUGAGUCUUACUAUGUGCCAGGCUUUGAGGUGGUGGCGGGGACACCAGUGUGAGCACAACACAGGCUCCACCACAGGGAGCCUGUAGCUAGUGGACCAGCCGAGAAACGCACAGAUACAGCACAGCGUGGGACGUGCAUUCGUGGUGUGUUUCUUCGGUGAAGGGGUCUCAUGUCGGCAGCUGGCCUGAUGCUAGAUAGAUAUGUUCUACUUGAGCAAGGUUUUCCCGAAGACUUUGACUCUGAGUGCCUCUGGGGGGGUGUCUCUGCUCCAAAUCCCCAGGCAACCUACUCCUUGCAAUCUUGUGUCUGGUCUGAUUGACAAAUGCGUGUGCCCUGGUUUGUCCCUGUAGGAGCUGGAGUUUGUGUCCCCCUCCCUUUUGAGUACUGAGUCUAAAGCUGCAGGAUGUCCUCUUUGGGAAUUGCUUCUGGGACCCAUUUGGGACCACACAGAGAACCUAGCUUAUCUGCCUUAUGCUUUGUGGUUUUUUUUCUUACAUGGGGUGCCACAAGCAGAAGGGCCCUUCGAGACCACCUAAUUCAGGGGCUGCAAAGUAAAUGCCUUCAAGGCCAGGAGGCGGUAUGGUUGAGAGAAUCAGGCCGUGUGUGACCUUGGGGAUUAGCGGGGAGUGUGGCACACUGGAGUAUGCAUGUUCUGCCUAAAUUUGUUUAUCAUUAUUACCUUUACUAACACUUGGGUGGCGCCCACUCCAGCUCCAGGCGCUGUUCUAAGUACUUUCCAUCUGUUAAUUCAUUUAUUACUCACAACAACAUUAUGAGGUCGAGACUACUAGUGUCCUCACUUUACAGAUGAGAAAUCCAAGGCAGAGAAGUGCAGUCACCGGCUAGGAAGUGGUAGAACCCAGCUCCCACAUCUGGGCUCAUAACCAGUCCACUGCCCCAGCUAAGGGCCUUGCAUUUGAAAAUUUCUGGAAACUCCAAGAAGGCAAAACAGUUCACCUCUGCAGACCCGUUUUGGCCCUUACGCUGUGAGUUUGCAGCCCCAGAUAUUCUAAUCUCCUCAUUGCCGAGGCGAGGCAGCUGCAGCCCCCACAAGAGAGGACGCUCGCUGGUUAAUGACAGAGGCCAGGAAAGAACACAGCCUUGCCCCCCGCUUCUGCCUCGCAGUCUUGCCUGCACGCCACCCUGCCACCACUUGUCCCUUAAGGCAGGAGUGGGCACGAGUGGGCGCGA